UACGGAGGAUCCGAGCGUUAUCCGGAUUUAUUGGGUUUAAAGGGUGCGCAGGCGGGGGAUUAAGUCGGCGGUGAAAUUUUGCAGCUCAACUGUAAAAGUGCCUUCGAAACUGGUUUCCUUGAGUGUAGAUGAAGUAGGCGGAAUUUGUGGUGUAGUGGUGAAAUGCAUAGAUAUCACGAGGAACUCCGAUUGCGCAGGCAGCUUACUAAACUACUACUGACGCUCAGGCACGAAGGCGUGGGGAUCAAACAGGAUUAGAUACCCUGGUAGU
rnacentral:rRNA from 1 species